AUAUCCUCUUAGGCUGGUGAAGUGAUUUGAGAGGCUAACAUAGAAAGAUAAAGUAAGUCUCCAUAAAACCCAGAGAAGAGAUUUCAAAACUUCAGACCCUGUCUGAAAUUAAAGCU
rfam:Erinaceus europaeus unplaced genomic scaffold scaffold00093, whole genome shotgun sequence